AACUAUUCUUAUAUCUUUUUGGCUGCAUCGUGGCUGCAUGCGACACAAUAAUUUGUUGAAAGAGGACAAAGCUGAGGGAGCCUGGGGAGGAUCACAAACGCCUACAGGUCCUUGCAAGAGCGUGACGUCACUGGGUUCUCGUGAUCCCUGCCCUAACAUGUGGCAUAGCAAAACAAUCACACUAGAGUAAAUCUAGCCUUGUAUGGCUCGCGGCCAAGAUUUUAUCCAGAGAAUUGCUCUACCGUAUUUUUACGAGCUAGGGAUACGGCGAGACGCAGAUCCAUUUGAG